rnacentral:rRNA from 1 species
UACGUAGGGUGCAAGCGUUGUCCGGAAUUAUUGGGCGUAAAGAGCUCGUAGGCGGUCUGUCGCGUCGGCUGUGAAAACCCGGGGCUCAACCCCGGGCCUGCAGUCGAUACGGGCAGACUAGAGUGCGGUAGGGGAGACUGGAAUUCCUGGUGUAGCGGUGAAAUGCGCAGAUAUCAGGAGGAACACCGGUGGCGAAGGCGGGUCUCUGGGCCGUAACUGACGCUGAGGGGCGAAAGCGUGGGAGCGAACAGG